rnacentral:rRNA from 1 species
GUCUAUGGCCUUACCACCCUAAAUGCACCCUACCACAUCUGGUCUUGGAAGCUAAGCAGGGUCGGGCCUCAUUAGUACUUGGAUGGAAGACAGAUCUUCAGAAGAGACUGCUCAGAGACA